rnacentral:lncRNA from 1 species
CCAAAACCUCACAGCGGUGGUGGACAAUUCUGCAAGGACACAGCAGUUCUGAAACUUGUCUUUGAGCACCUUUUUUGAGGAGCCACAGAAAUAAGCUCACUGACUUUAUGGUGGGUGGGUGGCUGGGGACACCUUGGAGGCGUGAACACUGUUUUUACUUAGCUGGCCUCCACUGAAAAUGCAGAGGACGACAGGUGUGAAUUGAAGACACUGCAGCUGGAUUAAUAAUUUGCUUCACAUCUGGGCCAGACGCUUAGAGUUUGGCAAAGGUAAGUUGAAGAUCCACCAUCUAUUUUUACGUGUUGGCCCGACCAUGCCACAGUUUAUGCUCUAUGUCAAAGAUUUGGCUGUGGCUACAGCUCAUGCAACUACAGAUUUUCAAUGGACAAGACUUAUCAGUUGUCAAACAAAGUAGAUCUAAUAGCUUUAAUUUUGAAUUUGUUUUUAAUUUAGAUUUUUGUUUUAAAAUCAAGAACUUUUUGGAUUGAUAAGAGUGUGGAAUACGCUUUUUGUUUAAACUGUUUGAAGAGGUAUUUAAAAUAAAAUUAAUUAUAUGUAAAGUUCUCCUGAAAUGUAUUUGACUUUUUACAGUACCAAAUUUCAUGUCGCGUCCAAGGGAGAUGUAAGUGUUCCCCGCUCUCACCCAGACCACCACCAACCUGCGAGGCAGCUGCGUGCAUGGCAGAGACUACUGGAGUUCAGGUUGGAGCCUGGCUUUGAGAGCAGAAGCAAAGAAGAACAAACUGUUCAAAGCCUUAUGACAGAAGGAGGUUAG